GACCAGUGCAAACCAUACGCACUUCUCAAAAGCAAGACAACAACUUCAAGAUCCUGCAGAUACAGAGCUCAUGGGUUCCUUCAGGAGAUCAUCUGUUCUUUGCAGUGUCAUUCAAGGUCUGGCAGUUUGGAGUGUGGCUGCGGCUGGACAGCCGUGGUCAGUGACGAUUCCUAAGCAGAUGUCCGCUCCGGUCGGGUCUUGCAUCGUCGUUCCUUGCUCCUUCACUCCCCCGACCGCUAACGAGGCCGUUGAAGUCACUUGGUACCAGUACGUCAGUCGUGGAUACCCGCUGGUAUACAGCGAAUCCAAACCGGGGGACGUCAUAGAUAAGUUUCGUGACAGCACGGAGUUAAUUGGCAGAGCGGGAAAGGGGAACUGCAGUCUCAAAAUCAACCCGACACGAGAAGCACAUAACGCUGAGAAGAUCUAUGUGUGGAUUGAGCCAAAUCAACUGGACGGCUACUUCUAUGAUCAGACGGUGACAUUAGAGGUUACAGGUACAUAA